UUAGGAAUUUUGUGCAAUGGGGGAAACCCUGACACAGCCACGCCGCGUGCGGGAUGAAGGCCUUCGGGUCGUAAACCGCUUUUCUCGAGGAAGACACCCGACGGUACUCGAGGAAUAAGCAACGGCUAACUACGUGCCAGCAGCCGCGGUAAUACGUAGGUUGCGAGCGUUGUCCGGAUUUACUGGGCGUAAAGCGCGCGCAGGCGGUUUCGAAAGUCCACGGUGAAAGCUCCCGGCCCAACUGGGAGAGGCCCGUGGAAACUCCGGAACUUGAAGGCAGGAGAGGCAGAUGGAAUUUCCGGUGUAGCGGUAAAAUGCGUAGAUACCGGAAGGAACACCAGUGGCGAAGGCGAUCUGCUGGCCUGUUCUUGACGCUCAGGCGCGAAAGCUAGGGGAGCGACCGGGAUUAGAUACCCGCGUAGUCC
rnacentral:rRNA from 1 species